CCUCGGGCGGCUGCAGUGGGGAAUAUUGGACAAUGGGGGGAACCCUGAUCCAGCCAUGCCGCGUGUGUGAAGAAGGCCCUCGGGUUGUAAAGCACUUUCAGUGAGGAAGAACGCCUGGUGGUUAAUACCCAUCAGGAAAGACAUCACUCACAGAAGAAGCACCGGCUAACUCCGUGCCAGCAGCCGCGGUAAUACGGAGGGUGCGAGCGUUAAUCGGAAUUACUGGGCGUAAAGCGCGCGUAGGUGGCUUGAUAAGCCGGUUGUGAAAGCCCCGGGCUCAACCUGGGAACGGCAUCCGGAACUGUCAAGCUAGAGUGCAGGAGAGGAAGGUAGAAUUCCCGGUGUAGCGGUGAAAUGCGUAGAGAUCGGGAGGAAUACCAGUGGCGAAGGCGGCCUUCUGGACUGACACUGACACUGAGGUGCGAAAGCGUGGGUAGCAAACAGGAUUAGAUACCCUUGUAGUC
rnacentral:rRNA from 1 species